CUAGAAACUGAUAACUAAAGGAGUAAUUCGCUUUGGGAGGGACCUGCGUCCCAUCAGCUAGUUGGUGAGGUAACGGCUCACCAAGGCUACGACGGGUAGGGGACCUGAGAGGGUGGCCCCCCACAAUGGAACUGAAACACGGUCCAUACACCUACGGGUGGCAGCAGUAGGGAAUAUUGCACAAUGGGCGAAAGCCUGAUGCAGCAACGCCGCGUGUGCGAUGAAGGCCUUCGGGUCGUAAAGCACUUUUCUGAGAGAUGAGAAAGGACAGUAUCUCAGGAAUAAGUCUCGGCUAACUACGUGCCAGCAGCCGCGGUAACACGUAGGAGGCGAGCGUUAUCCGGAUUCACUGGGCGUAAAGCGCGUGCAGGCGGUUUGGUAAAUUUGAUCGUGAAAGCUCCCGGCUCAACUGGGAAGAGG
rnacentral:rRNA from 1 species